ACCUGGCUGGCUCAAUCAGUAGAGUGUGCAAUUCUUGAUCUUAGGGUUGUGGGUUCAAGCCCCAUGUUGGGUG
rnacentral:tRNA from 1 species